rnacentral:lncRNA from 1 species
GGGGAUAGUAGAGGAUAGGAAAGGCAGCAGAACACAACAGACACUAGUAUGGCAAUAUGUAAAUCAAUGGAUGUGUAACUGAUGUGAUUCUGCAAUCUGUAUAUAGGGUAAAAAUGGGAGCUCAUAACCCACUUGAAUCAAAGGGUGAAAUAUGAUAUAUCAAGAACUAUGUAAUGUUUUGAAUAACCAACAAUAAAAAAUUAAAAAAAAAAUUGCUAGAAAUAUGAGAACCCAAUGCCUCAUGCAUGCGAGGCAAGCACUCUACCACUGAGCCACAACUUCAGCUCUCCACUGAAUGUUUAGUUUGUUUUAUUGAUUUCUUCAUUUUGAGGAUUUCUGCCUGAGGUGGGUAUUUUUUUUUCCAGAAUCUCUUUAUUAAAGUGCUCUUUCACUUCCUCUAUUUUUUCCCUUAAAUCAUCCUUUACCUUGCAAUCAAUUUAAUUAUGAACAUUCUAAACUCAUUCUCUGAAAAUUCUUCCACUGUGGUGUUGAUGGAUUCUGUUAUUGAAAUAUUUUGGUUUGCUUUGGGUGAUUUGUUUCCUUGCUUUUUCAUGUUGUUUUUGUGUCUACCUAACAGUUGGUUUUGAGGGAGCAGAGUUUCUACCCAGUGGACAUUUAGUGUCCCUGAAGGUUUCCAGUGCCUCACAGUUUAGGGGGAGACAGAUAAUAACAACAACCAAAGCAAUCAGUUUACAGCAUUAAACCAAAUAGAUCUUACUAUAGCACCUAGAAUGUUAAUUGUCAUAAUAAUCAGAAAUGAUAUGAUCAGUUAUUGCCCACAAUAAAAACAGUAAGUUUAUAAAAGAGUUUAUGAUUUCAAGUGGUGAACAGAGAUAGAACAGUAGUGAUGUAGAUGUGAUGAUUAUGAGGGAGGGGAGAGAAAAUAGAAGUAAAAAAUUAAAGAAAGAAUGAAGGGGAGCUGGGUACAGUGGUGUAGACCUGUAAUCCCAGCAGCUCCGGAGGCUGAGACAGGAGGAUCAUGAGUUCAAAGCUUAUUUUAGCAAUGGAGAGAGCUAAGAACUCAGUGAGACCCUGUCUCUAACACAUCUAGCUGGGGAUGUGGCUCAGUGGUCGAGUCCCUCUGAGUUCAAUCCCUGGUACCCACCAAAAAACUUUACUCUUUUGAGUGAAGGAGCAAUAAGUAGAGAUUGGCUGUUAGCAGAGGAAAAGAGAGAGAGAGAGAGAGAGAGAGAGAGAGAGAGAGAGAGAGAGAGAGAGUGAGUUGAGGGAAAAAGAUAAGUGAGAGAAAAAAAAUGUGUAAAAUAAAAUUUAAAAAUAAUAAUAAAAAUAAAGAUAAAGGAAUACAACAACCAAUCCUAAAUGUAUUAAUCAAAUAUCUUAGUCCUCAAAGUACUGGUCCAUGAAAAGUAACUGCCUUCAAAAAUUGCUAGAAAUGAGAAAAAAAGAAACAGAUUAUGUAUAUGUGUCUAGUUAAGAGUAAAGAAGAGAGAUGGGGGGGUAGAAAAGAGUUUGUAGAUUCAAGGACAAAGAGGCAAGGUAGGAUAUGUUUAUGAAGGAGAAGAAGAAAAACAUAGAAACAAAAUAAUUAAAGGAAGAGUGAAAGAAUACUAGAGUUUGGCUGUUAGCAAGAAAAAAGGGAGAAAUAGAAACAAAGGGAAACAGAUUUGUAACACAACAGAAAAUCUAUUCAAAAUUUACUAAUCAAAAUCUCGAAUCCUCAACAGCAGGGAACAAUAACUACCUUCAAGAAAUGCUAGAAAUGAAAAAGCAGAAACAAAUAUGUAUGUGUACAAAUGUAUAAAUGUCCAUCAUUUAUCAUCAGCAUACAUUCAAAAACAAAAUAGUCAAUAGGAGUAUGUGCCAAACCAUCUUUCCAUUACUCAGCUCCCUUUAUCUGGAUGGUGUGGAGAGCUGUGGAAGAUGCUUUCAGCUUCACUUACAGGGUAUAGUUGCCAUUGGGUUCUAUGAGAUGAAUUUCUGUAAGUGAAGCUCCCUGGGGUAGAGAUUAGGUCUGGAAUUGCUGUGUUAAUUAUAAUAACUUUCAAAUAAAUAUUAAUAUACAGUACAGUAACCCCCACAUUUUUCUUUCCUAAAAGGACUCUUUGUUAUCUUUUGCAUUUCCAUAAUAGUCGUUCCUUAAACACUGAUGGAAUAUUCUAAAGCUGGCUCAGUUUGAGGAAAAUCAAUAUAUUUAUUAUACUCAAUCUUAUAAUUCUGUAGUCUAUAUGUCCAUUUCUUUAAUUGCUCUCAGUAAUGUUUUACAUUUAUGUAUAAAUUUCCUGCACAUCUUUUGUUAGAUUUGUUUCUAGGCAUUUACUGUUUAUUUUAAUGAAUUGCAAGUAAGAGCUUUCAAAUUUUCAUUUUCUGCCUACUCAUAUAUGGAAAUGAAGUAGACUUUUUUUUUGUGGUGACCAUGAAGCAGUACCCUUGCUAACUUAAUAAUUUAUCUGUAGCUUUAAGUUUUUCCUACAUACAUUAUUUUUAUAUAGUCACAGUUUUAUUUUAUUUUUUCCUUUCACAUUUGAUUUCACUG